rnacentral:rRNA from 1 species
UGUAAGCGUAUACCAAAGUUGUUGCAGUUAAAACGCUCGUAGUCGGAAUUUGGCAGUUCCGGAUGUGUGCACGUCGUGUGCGCACUUCGCGGGGAUUGCUUUUGUGGUCUUGCGUAGGAUGAGGCACUUUUAUUAGUGAACGUCCUCACGCAACCACUUUUUACUGUGAGAAAAUCAGAGUGCUCAAAGCAGGCAUUUGCCGUGAAUGUAUUAGCAUGGAAUAAUUGAAUAGGACUUGGUUCUAUUUUGUUGGUUUGUUGGGACUGAGUAAUGAUUAAGAGGGACAGUUGGGGGCAUUUGUAUUUCGGUGCUAGAGGUGAAAUUCUUAGAUUACCGAAAGACAAACUGCUGCGAAAGCGUCUGCCAAGGAUGUUUUCAUUGA